rnacentral:rRNA from 1 species
GAUGAACGCUGACAGAAUGCUUAACACAUGCAAGUCAACUUGAACUUCGGUUUGGGUGGCGGACGGGUGAGUAACGCGUAAAGAACUUGCCUCACAGUUAGGGACAACAUUUGGAAACGAAUGCUAAUACCUGAUAUUAUGAUUUUAGGGCAUCCUAGAAUUAUGAAAGCUAUAUGCGCUGUGAGAGAGCUUUGCGUCCCAUUAGCUAGUUGGAGAGGUAACGGCUCACCAAGGCGAUGAUGGGUAGCCGGCCUGAGAGGGUGAACGGCCACAAGGGGACUGAGACACGGCCCUUACUCCUACGGGAGGCAGCAGUGGGGAAUAUUGGACAAUGGACCAAGAGUCUGAUCCAGCAAUUCUGUGUGCACGAUGAAGUUUUUCGGAAUGUAAAGGGCUUUCAGUUGGGAAGAAAAAAAUGACGGUACCAACAGAAGAAGUGACGGCUAAAUACGUG